ensembl:snoRNA SNORD29 Small nucleolar RNA SNORD29
UUUCCAUGAUGAAUUAAACUAGCUCACUAUGACUGGAAAUGAAAACACACGAACACCUGAGAAAC